AUAAUAACCAAAGAAUGAAUCAUAGUCAUACUGACAAAGUAUGCAGCUGACCAGCAAAGCGAAUAUAGGAAGUUGAAUGAGCUUCAUCUUAGGAGUGAGUGUACGAUACUGCUUGACUGGGAGCCUUGUGGUUUCCUAAUUCCAAAAGAAUGAGAGGGGAGAGAGAGAGAGAGACAAAGAGGACAAGAAUCAAAUAAUAAGUGCAGUUCUCUUGGGUCUCUGGAGAAAGAGGAAGCUGCCAGACUUCCGUGCCCCAAUGCUGACAAUAACAGUGAGAGAGGUGGAUACUGCUAGAGAGCUGCUAUGUCAUCAUUUUGGAUUAGUACUGUGGAAUGCUAAAAAAUACCAAAAAUAGAGCCCGCUAAUUAAAUGCAGAUGGAUGGCUGGAGUUACGGUGCAGAUAAGACACAAGGGUUAAGGGUUUUUUUGGUACAAUUUGCGUGUUGGCGUUUCAAUUUUCACAUGUUCCCCAUUUUGAUUCAAUUAUUUUUUUGG